AAGAGACAGCUUGGUCAUUUAGAGGGCCUCCAUGAAGUAUAUUGUCAAAAGCUUUGGCUGAAUGUUGGGGAGUGGCAUUUAGCACAGGCGACUACCGGAGUCGAUAGAGGAUCACAUGUGCUUACUUGAGCACACAGACUCCCAUUAGGACGAGCGCAAUAUGACGGGCCCUCCGCUUUCAGGCUAGCUCUAGACUGCGUUGAUGCCUUCAGUAUUCCUGAACUAUGCCUCUA
rnacentral:misc_RNA from 1 species